rnacentral:sRNA from 1 species
UAAGUUGUUUAGUUCAUCGACAGUGGU